rnacentral:lncRNA from 1 species
AUGAUAGGUGGAACUGUAUCUCGUAGAAGAGGGACUGCAUUGUGCUGGAGAAAAAUCGGGUGGCACUGUGAUGGUACGGGGAUGAUAUGUUGAAGGCAUUAGAUUAUACUGUGGCGGUAUCAGAUGAUGUAGUUGAGGCACUGAAUUGUACUGUGGUGGUGCUGGAUGGUACGGUGGAGGAACAGGGUUGUAUUGGGGUGGCUGUGGAUCUUCCCACUGUAAGAGUGGCUUGAACUCUGGCAGCAGGAGAUGAUCAGACAGCUCCCUCCUUUCCUCUCGAGUCUGCUGGGCAGAGAUGAGUCUCUCUAUUAUCUCAAAGAGUUGGUCAAUAUCUUCUCGAAGCAAACCAUCUCGGGCUACUCGAUUUAGUGGGGCCUUCCUCUCCUCAU